UUUACGGGCCACAACAGUGAUAAACGAGGCCAGUGGGUGGAGGGGGAACCUUCACGGACAAACACGCUCCCGGCAGCCUUUAGGAAGCCCCCCCAAGUGGCUACAGAUGUUGUAUACCAGUUUUAGAAGACAAUACUUGGACUUCUUUUUAAAGAAAAGGCCUCCAACGCUCUUCCAGCUGCCCUCAGAGCCCGCUGGGAACGGAGGACAUGUCGGGGCAGCUGCAAGCAGCUCCACGCACGAAGGGUGUUUGGGGCUUUUCUGCUUCGGACCACCUGGGGAACUGACUGCUACCACGAUGGCCGUGGAUGGGAGCAAGAAGAGCAGUAGGGAGCAGGGGAGGCAAGGCCUGGCAGCCAGCGGCCACAGCAAGAGUGGGCGCACGGGCCGCCAUGGGAACCACAGCGUCAGCAGAGGGAGUCGCUCGCGGUCCACCAGGGCAACAAGGGUGGCUGGCUGGGAGAAUGGAGGCAGAGAGCGGAUAUAACAUUAAAACAGAAGUCGUGGCUGGUUUUUCUCCCGCAAUGUGAGCCUGUUUUCAACCUGCUUUCACAAUUGGCAUCCCCUUCAGACAAACGGUGCUCGUCAGCGCAAGGGUGCGGUUGAUUGUGGGGCCACGGGACUUCCUCCCCGCUUUUGCCUGCUGUAACCGUGAGUGCCCAGGGUGCUCUUAACAUCUGAAGAGGGCUCAGGUAAGAAGGAUUAAAUUGCAUGUAGAAGCCAUCACAGUCCUGACACUACAGAACUUCCUUAUCAUUCAAUGUAGCUGAAUUUUCAACUCUGGGGAACAUUUACACACCAUGGCGCUCACACACAGCCUCUCCAGAAGGUCCAUCCUUGCGGCAGCAAAUGAAAUGCAAAGAAAAACAAGAACAGCAGUGUAAACUAGGAUCAAGAUUAUAAUCCAGAGUCUGAACAAGCUUUGCUGAGUUUGUGGCCCACUUUAACAGAGGUCCGGAAAGCCCCUCUACAACUGGGCAAGAUGGUUGAUGUUCCUUGUUCUGUAUACUCAGCUUCCUGAAGUGGAAUGUUGUUUCUGCUGCUGGCUUUGUAGAGAACAGAUCCAGAUGUCCAGCUGUUGGAUUUGUAUACUUUCCCCAUCUUCUCUGACUCCCCAUGUGAUCGCAUCCAGAGUAAAAUCCAAUCAAUCCGGGCAGCACAUCUGAAAUCUGUAUAAAUCUGGGUGGAAUUUGGCAGCCAGGUGGAGGAACCAAAAUCCAGGUAAUACCCUAAAUUCCAGGGGACAAGGGAAGGCUAGCCCUGAGCAGUAUUGAACCGGAGGGGCAGGAUGCAAAUAUUGUAAGCAAGUAAGUAAAAAUAAGCAAGCCUACUCUACUCCCUCCCUGAAACAGCAAUUGGUUAAUCCAACGAUGUUGAAAAUGGGUGGGAGAUCGGUGUACUGUUUCUCUGUGCAGUGAGGGGAAAGAGCAAAAUGUGCAGGUAAAAAUCUGGUUUGCUGCUGCAUGCCCCUGAUUGGCUGGUUUUCCUUCCAAAGCACAGCUGGCCCCACCUUGCUGUCUUGAGUUGCAUUCCAAAGGAGUGUGGUCAAAGAUGCCCCUCUCAAAUUAGUGGAGAGAGGAGGAGCAAUGA